GUCCACGCCCUAAACUAUGUCAACUGGUUGUUGGACGGCUUGCUGUUCAGUAACGAAGCUAACGCGUGAAGUUGACCGCCUGGGGAGUACGGCCGCAAGGUUGAAACUCAAAGGAAUUGACGGGUACCCGCACAAGCGGUGGAUGAUGUGGUUUAAUUCGAUGCAACGCGAAAACCUUACCUACCCUUGACAUGUCAAGAAUCUUGCAGAGAUGUGAGAGUGCUCGAAAGAGAACUUGAACACAGGUGCUUCAUGGCCGUCGU
rnacentral:rRNA from 1 species